GCUUUCGUAGUGUAGUGGUCAGCACGCUCGGCGCGUAUUCGAGAAGUCCGUGGUUCGAAUUCCGGCGAGGAUA
rfam:Stegodyphus mimosarum contig48341, whole genome shotgun sequence.